AUGGUGACGUCAUCUCUCCCUCUGCACCCACAGCCUUUCACCUCCUCUGGCCCCUUCUGCCUUGAACUCGAGCCGCUUGCGUCCUGCUGUGCCCGCCUCCCAGGCGGAGAGCUCCCGCGGGCAGGAGUCUGCACCGCCGAGAGGCCAGCACGCGGGGACUCUCCGCGAGCACGGCGCGCUUCCCGCCCGCCCUCGGUUCGCUCCUGCGGCGAGAACGAGCCCCGCCUCCGGGCCGCCGAGAGCAGGGGCGCCGGCCUCCACCGCCUCCCGCCGUCUGGGACCCGGCGCCGUCUGGGGCGCGGCGGCGGCGCGGCACUCGGGAGGCGGCGCCCAGCCCAGGGUCGGUCCCGUCCUGGCGCGGCCCGGGCGGCGGCCGCGCGUCCGCAACCCCACGCGCCCUCGCGACAGGUCGGGGCGAAGGCGCGUCACGCGCUCCGGACAGAGGCCCGAGCGGGGAGGCCGAGCGCCGGCGGGAGCCCUGCCCGGAGGCGACAGCGCGAGGCCUCGGACUCGGGCGCCGCUCGCACUCCGGCAGACGGCGGGGCGGCGGACGCGAGGGCGGGGCGGUCCUCGCCCGGCCCGCCCAGCACGCCCCGCCCGCUCGGACCUCGGGACGCGGGGUCACCCCGCGGGGCCGGCCCGGGGGUCGCGCGCACCCCCGGCCCCUGCCCGCGCCAUCUUGGAGCGCUGAGGCGGCCGCUGCGGCCGUCGCUCAAUCGCAGUUCCCGGGCCAGGCCCCAUGACCCCUCCACGACCCCUUCCACGGCCGGGAGCCGCAGCAGCAGCGCGCCUCGCGGGAAGCUCCGCACGGCAGCCACGUCCUGGCCGCGCUCCGGAGCCGCGGGACACCCGCGCCAGCCGGCCGCCGCAACUGCCAACGAGCCCCGCCCCGGCCCCAGGCCUGCGGUGAUUGGGCGCCGCUGCCCGCGAGCCCCGCCCCGGUCCCGGGUCUGCGGUGAUUGGCCGCUGCGCGUGGGUUCCGCCCCUCAGCGGGACCGAGCUUGCUAA
rnacentral:lncRNA from 1 species